rnacentral:lncRNA from 1 species
AUCAAAUCGUAGUUUUGCUCCGUAGUUAUCGAACUUUCUUCUGUAUCACUGCAUCUAACUGUCACCCAACUUUCUUCCUUCACCCAAUCAGGUUUCAAAGAACCUGAUAUUCCCUCAUCACCAAUCAGCCGUGUGAUCCUAUCUGCAGGGGAAUCAACGGUGAUGCUUGACUCUAAUGAAGAAGAUUCCAUCACCUCAAACGAAUUCCAAAAGCCUUGAUCCAAAAUACUAGUGGGAGAAUCCCUCUUCAAGUUUUCAACUUUCCAAGAAUUAGACUCUAAAGAUUGCAAAAAUGGGUGUUGAAGAAGUUGUUUAGCUGUCCAUCGUUCUUUUGGGUCUUUUAUCAAACACUUUGCUAAAAAUUCUCUAGCAUCGUUGGAUAAACAAUUUGGGAAUUGAGGCACAUCCCCUGAAUAACCAAUUCUAUACAGAGCCGAAACAGGAUCCUUCAUAUCAGUCCAAGGAGGUGACCCUGUAGCCAUUUCAAUAAUAGUACACCCAAAAGCCCAAAUAUCAGCUGUAAAUCUUUGUUCUUCGCCUCGAGCAACUUCAGGUGCCAUAAAAGCCGGCGUGCCAGAUAUUCCAGAAUCCCCAGAAUUUUCAUCUCGUAGCAAUUUCCCACAUCCCAAAUCUGCAAUCUUGAUACCAUCUUGACCAAUUAAAAUGUUUUGACCCUUUAUGUCACAAUGUACAACCCCAAUUGAGUUGUGCCAGAAAUUCCAGAAUCCCCAGAAUUUUCAUCUCGUAGCAAUUUCCCACAUCCCAAAUCUGCAAUCUUGAUACCAUCUUGACCAAUUAAAAUGUUUUGACCCUUUAUGUCACAAUGUACAACCCCAAUUGAGUGAAGAUAAUCCAAGCCCUGUAGAAUUUGUUGAGCGUAAGAUUUAGUCACGGACUCAUUCAAGGAACCUCCUUGUUUCAUGAUCAAAUCAGAAAGAGUGCCACCUGGUAUAUACUCCAUGAACAUGUUGUAAGUGGUCUUAUUGUGCUCACUAGUAAUGUCAAAGCCAAAGCAAUUGACUAAAAAUGGUGAAUUGAGCUGAGAAAUUAGAGAGUACUCUCUUUGUAAUAUGCUAGAACAAGAUAGCUCAGUGG